GAGUUUGAUCCUGGCUCAGAUUGAACGCUGGCGGCAGGCCUAACACAUGCAAGUCGAACGGUAACAGAAAGCAGCUUGCUGCUUUGCUGACGAGUGGCGGACGGGUGAGUAAUGUCUGGGAAACUGCCUGAUGGAGGGGGAUAACUACUGGAAACGGUAGCUAAUACCGCAUAACGUCGCAAGACCAAAGAGGGGGACCUUCGGGCCUCUUGCCAUCGGAUGUGCCCAGAUGGGAUUAGCUUGUUGGUGGGGUAACGGCUCACCAAGGCGACGAUCUCUAGCUGGUCUGAGAGGAUGACCAGCCACACUGGAACUGAGACACGGUCCAGACUCCUACGGGAGGCAGCAGUGGGGAAUAUUGCACAAUGGGCGCAAGCCUGAUGCAGCCAUGCCGCGUGUAUGAAGAAGGCCUUCGGGUUGUAAAGUACUUUCAGCGGGGAGGAAGGGAGUAAAGUUAAUACCUUUGCUCAUUGACGUUACCCGCA
rnacentral:rRNA from 1 species